rnacentral:rRNA from 1 species
GAUGAACGCUAGCUACAGGCUUAACACAUGCAAGUUGAGGGGCAGCAUGGUCUUAGCUUGCUAAGGCCGAUGGCGACCGGCGCACGGGUGAGUAACACGUAUCCAACCUGCCGUCUACUCUUGGACAGCCUUCUGAAAGGAAGAUUAAUACAAGAUGGCAUCAUGAGUCCGCAUGUUCACAUGAUUAAAGGUAUUCCGGUAGACGAUGGGGAUGCGUUCCAUUAGAUAGUAGGCGGGGUAACGGCCCACCUAGUCUUCGAUGGAUAGGGGUUCUGAGAGGAAGGUCCCCCACAUUGGAACUGAGACACGGUCCAAACUCCUACGGGAGGCAGCAGUGAGGAAUAUUGGUCAAUGGGCGAGAGCCUGAACCAGCCAAGUAGCGUGAAGG